rnacentral:rRNA from 1 species
UGAGGAAUAUUGGUCAAUGGGCGAGAGCCUGAACCAGCCAAGUAGCGUGCAGGAUGACGGCCCUAUGGGUUGUAAACUGCUUUUAUGUGGGGAUAAAGUGCGUGACGUGUCAUGCAUUGCAGGUACCACAUGAAUAAGGACCGGCUAAUUCCGUGCCAGCAGCCGCGGUAAUACGGAAGGUCCGGGCGUUAUCCGGAUUUAUUGGGUUUAAAGGGAGCGUAGGCUGUCUAUUAAGCGUGUUGUGAAAUAUACCGGCUCAACCGGUGGCUUGCAGCGCGAACUGGUCGACUUGAGUAUACAGGAAGUAGGCGGAAUUCAUGGUGUAGCGGUGAAAUGCUUAGAUAUCAUGACGAACUCCGAUUGCGCAGGCAGCUUACUGUAGCAUAACUGACGCUGAUGCUCGAAAGUGCGGGUAUCAAACAGG